CGAUGGAGGAGAUCGCAGCUUCGGUGGUGAUGACAGAACAUGAUUUCGGUUCUGCUCCUAAACCAGGGAUGUCAGCGUUAUCUCCAACUGCCCGCGUGUGAUAUACCCUGUUGUCCUAUGUUACAGUUUGGAAAGGGGGGAUGUCAGCGUUAUCUCCAACUGCCCGCGUGUGAUAUACCCUGUUGUCCUAUGUUACAGUUUGGAAGGGGAAUAAAUGCUGUCAGAUCCACUCCAAGUCUCCUCUGCAUUAUCGGCCAACUAGUCACACGAAGACCUGUGAACAUUAAUGUGACAGGCUGAUUGAAGUCUGUUACAUAAACUGGUGCCGUGACCUUUCAAGGAUUCAACUGAUCAGCCGCUGUUGCCGAUCCCCGGGGUUAAGCUGUCUGCAUGAAGGUAUCGUGAUGGAAGACCAGUGAAUCCUCAUCGUCCGUGCUAAUUGUACUGUGUGUCUAGGUCAAUUGGAAUUUAUCUGGUUAAGUUUCAAUACUACAUUAGGUUUUGUUGUGCUUCUCUUUUCUUUAUUUUAUUUUCAUUUAAUUGAGAGGGAAUAUACACACAAUUUUGGUUUUCUGUUGACGAUAUUCAGUUUACAGUAUGUCCAGUGGACGUGAUUUUUUUGAUAAUGUGACACCUUAUGUCGGGAGAGGGAGGGGCAGGGGCCUAUUGGUUUAUGCAGGGGAGGAGGUUAAGAAGCUGGCUUUCACAGACAUCCCACAGCAUUCUGUGGGAUCCACUUCUCUCUCACAGACACUACCCCUACAUUUCAGUGAUAGUGAGGAACAUGCACAGGUUAAGACAGGCCAUGUAGUCACAUCCCCUGUAGGGCCUAUAUCAUCCACGCCCAUUGUGUCUGUCAGUGGCAAUGACCCUGCAGCUGAUCUCCGUGACUUGAUCACUGAAUUGGGUAAUCAAAUAGGAGAUUCAAUAGUCAGUCGGCUGUUUGCCCCCAGUCCACCUGUCUUGCCAUCAUUUGUCCCAGUCUCUCCUGUGGUUGGUGGCGACAAUCC
ensembl:lncRNA